UACGUAGGGUGCGAGCGUUGUCCGGAAUUAUUGGGCGUAAAGAGCUUGUAGGUGGUUUGUCGCGUCUGCUGUGAAAAUCCGAGGCUCAACCUCGGACUUGCAGUGGGUACGGGCAGACUAGAGUGUGGUAGGGGAGACUGGAAUUCCUGGUGUAGCGGUGAAAUGCGCAGAUAUCAGGAGGAACACCGGUGGCGAAGGCGGGUCUCUGGGCAGUAACUGACGCUGAGAAGCGAAAGCGUGGGUAGCGAACAGG
rnacentral:rRNA from 1 species